rnacentral:rRNA from 1 species
GUGGGGAAUAUUGGACAAUGGGCGCAACCCUGAUCCAGCCAUGCCGCGUGAGUGAUGAAGGCCUUAGGGUUGUAAAGCUCUUUCAGUGGGGACGAUAAUGACGGUACCCACAGAAGAAGCCCCGGCUAACUUCGUGCCAGCAGCCGCGGUAAUACGAAGGGGGCUAGCGUUGUUCGGAUUUACUGGGCGUAAAGCGCACGUAGGCGGAUCGUUAAGUCGGGGGUGAAAUCCUGGAGCUCAACUCCAGAACUGCCUUCGAUACUGGCGAUCUUGAGUCCGGAAGAGGUGAGUGGAACUCCUAGUGUAGAGGUGGAAUUCGUAGAUAUUAGGAAGAACACCAGUGGCGAAGGCGGCUCACUGGUCCGGUACUGACGCUGAGGUGCGAAAGCGUGGGGAGCAAACAGGAUUAGAAACCCGGGUAGUCC